rnacentral:misc_RNA from 1 species
GAUGAAGAACGCAGCGAAAUGCGAUACUUGGUGUGAAUUGCAGAAUCCCGUGAACCAUCGAGUCUUUGAACGCAAGUUGCGCCUCAAGCCAUUAGGUUGAGGGCAUGUCUGCCUGGGCGUCACAUAUCGUUGCCUGAUGCCAGUUUCCUCGUGAUGGGUGACUGUGCAGGGCGAAUGAUGGCUUCCCGUGAGCAUUGUUGCCUCAUGGUUGGUUGAAAAUUGAGUCCUUGGUAGGGAGCGCCGUGAUAGAUGGUGGUUGAGUGACGAACGAGACCCAAUCAUGUGAGACCCCUACCGAAUUUGGCCUUCAUGACCCACAUGCGUCUUUGGAACGCUCAUGACGAGACCUCAGGUCAGGCGGGGCUACCCGCUGAGUUUAAGCAUAUCAAUAAGCGGAGGA